rnacentral:miRNA from 1 species
UAUAUAUACAUGUGUGUGCAUGUAUAUAUAUAAACAUAUAUAUAUAUAUAUAUAUACAUACAUACACACACGCGCGCACGCACACAC